GUGGGAUGACGUCAAGUCCUCAUGGCCUUUAUGCCCAGGGCUACACACGUGCUACAAUGGGUGGUACAAAGAGCAGCGAGCUUGCGAGAGUGAGCGAAUCUCAAAAAGCCAUCCUCAGUUCGGAUUGAAGUCUGCAACUCGACUUCAUGAAGUCGGAAUCGCUAGUAAUCGCGGAUCAGCAUGCCGCGGUGAAUACGUUCCGGCCUU
rnacentral:rRNA from 1 species